ACACACGUGCUACAAUGGCCGGCACAGCGGAAGCAGGGGGCGACCUUGAGCGGAUCCCUCAAAGCCGGUACUCAGUUCGGAUUGCAGUCUGCAACUCGACUGCAUGAAGUUGGAAUCGCUAGUAAUCGUGGAUCAGCCAAGCCGCGGUGAAUACGGUUCCCGGGCCUU
rnacentral:rRNA from 1 species